GACGCCGAAGUCCCGGGAAAAGGAAGGGCGCCAUUUGAUUUCACAGCAAACGGGCGGUGACACCGACUUCCCGGGAAAGGGAAAGGCGCCAUUUGAUUUCACAGAAAACGGAAACGCAGUGAUGAAGCCCAGCGCCUGGCCCUCGCCCUCCCUCCACGUCUGUCUCGGGGGCGCCCUCCCCUCGCAGGAGCCAGGGCACGCGGGCCUUCAACCGCCGAGGCCCCCGCCGCCCUUCUGGACUUUUAUCGAGGCAUGUACACUAAUACGAAAGAGAAUUUGCCAUUUACCUGUAAGAUUGAGGGUGACAACGUAAGAGGAAUGGUUUUAAGUGACGCGUCCGGCUCCUUACUCCCACUGAAGGGUGAAGGUGCCACAGGUGGACCUGGUUUGGAUUCUGAUGUGAAGAAACCGACUUCAAAACAUUUGGGCCAAUCAGGAAAAUGCGAAAACUCUGACUACAAAUUUAAUGAUAUCUAGAAUUAUUGUUAAUAGUUUAAGAUGGAGUCUUGCCCUGUCACCCAGGCUAGAGUGCAGUGGUGCAAUCUCGGCUCACUACAGCCUCCACCUCCAGGGUUCAAGCAAUUCUCAUGCCUCAGCCUCCCAAGUAGCUGGGAUUACAGGUGAUAGAGGCUAUGUUCCUAAGUGAAGAAUGAAGUAGUGGCAGUUCCAUCAGAUGCUUAGAGCCAGAGACAGUCCUAAGCAAACACCUGGAAAAGAAAUCCGGUGAGAAAUUCCAAGCAAUAGGAAUUUUCUCUGAAGAUCACUUGGAAGUGCCCCAUGAGAAAAACCACUAGCUUCAAACCCCUGCCAAGCCCAGAGAAUGCCUUACACUGAAAUAGAUCAUCAUAAAAUUAAUAGCCCCUCAAACACUGCCUGGCUCAGAGUUGGCGCUUGUUAAAAUUUUGAGGAAGCAAGCAAGCAAGCACAUGGGAGGAUACCAAAACAUGGCAGUAAAAGGAGCUAAACACACAAAAGAAAAGACAGAGUUCUGCUCUUGUUGCCCAAGCUGGAGUGCAGUGGCGUGAUCUCAGCUCACCGCAACCUCCGCCUUCCAGAUUCAAGCGAUUCUCCUGCCUCAGCCUCCUGAGUAGCUGGAAUUACAGGACUCCAUCACCAUGCCCGGCUAACUUUGUAUUUUUCAGUAGAGACGGGGUUUCUCCAUGUUGAUCAGGCUGGUCUCAAACUCCCAGCCUCAGGUGAUCUGCCCACCUCGGCCUCCCAAAGUGCUGGGAUUAUAGGCAUGAGCCACCGCACAUGGCCCAACACCUAAUAUUUCUAUAAACUUUCCAUUUUAAAUGUUGGGGCUUUUUUCUUCAUUUAUUGCACAUGCUGGGAGAGGAAGGAGUCAAGCACCAGGAUAUAAAAUUGUGCUCUUCCAUGGUCAUUCAGACAGAAUCAAGAAUCCAGGUUCUAAAUGUCUUUAAGUUCAGAAUCCAGAUCAGGGUCAGAAGAGGUUGACAGCUGCUGCUAGGGGCUGGGGGCUGCAGAGACAACAGCAGACAACAGGCAUGCAGCUGAC
rnacentral:lncRNA from 1 species